AACGAACGCUGGCGGCAUGCCUAACACAUGCAAGUCGAACGAGACCUUCGGGUCUAGUGGCGCACGGGUGCGUAACGCGUGGGAACCUGCCCUUAGGUUCGGAAUAACUCCCCGAAAGGGGUGCUAAUACCGGAUAAUGUCUUCGGACCAAAGAUUUAUCGCCUUUGGAUGGGCCCGCGUUGGAUUAGCUAGUUGGUAGGGUAAAAGCCUACCAAGGCGACGAUCCAUAGCUGGUCUGAGAGGAUGAUCAGCCACACUGGGACUGAGACACAGCUCAGACUCCUACGGGAGGCAGCAGUGGGGAAUAUUGGACAAUGGGCGAAAGCCUGAUCCAGCAAUGCCGCGUGAGUGAUGAAGGCCUUAGGGUUGUAAAGCUCUUUUACCCGGGAUGAUAAUGACAGUACCGGGAGAAUAAGCUCCGGCUAACUCCGUG
rnacentral:rRNA from 1 species